UACGUAGGGGGCAAGCGUUGUCCGGAAUCAUUGGGCGUAAAGAGCGUGUAGGCGGCUCGAUAAGUCUGCUGUGAAAGUCCAGGGCUCAACCCUGGAAGGCCGGUGGAAACUGUCGGGCUAGAGUCCGGAAGAGGCGAGUGGAAUUCCCGGUGUAGCGGUGAAAUGCGCAGAUAUCGGGAGGAACACCAGUGGCGAAGGCAGCUCGCUGGGACGUGACUGACGCUGAGACGCGAAAGCGUGGGGAGCGAACAGG
rnacentral:rRNA from 1 species